AGUAACGCGUGAGGAACCUGCCUCAAAGAGGGGACAACAGUUGGAAACGACUGCUAAUACCGCAUAAGCCCACAGCUCGGCAUCGAGCAGAGGGAAAAGGAGUGAUCCGCUUUGAGAUGGCCUCGCGUCCGAUUAGCUAGUUGGUGAGGUAAUGGCCCACCAAGGCGACGAUCGGUAGCCGGACUGAGAGGUUGAACGGCCACAUUGGGACUGAGACACGGCCCAG
rnacentral:rRNA from 1 species